AAACAUUAGGCUUUGGGCUUGCUCACACGACCAUGCCGUGUUUUACGGUCUGCAAAUUGCAGAUAUGCAAAACAUGGAUGCCGCCUGUGUGCCUUCCGCAAUUUGUGGAAUGGAACAGGAGGCCUAUUAUAGAGAUGCCUAUUCUUGUCCUCAAAACGGACAAGAA